AGACAGUAGCCGGUGUCGAUCAAUCCCUUGGUUCUAGUCAGGUUGCGAGUACCCCGAAAGAGCCAAGAAGCCGAUCGCUCCCCCCGGAAGUGGUCUAAAAAAGACUUGUGCACCCCAACUUGAGUUGCUUCAAAUCGGGCCCAAACUCAAAGUCAAAAUAUCCGAGUACUCUCGAUAUAUGCAUGCUAAGCAUACCACGUGCUUUGAAAUUAUUAUUUUUUUUAAAGGGCGUGGCCAACAGGGGAAGAGGCUGGCUGCUCUUUGUCUGUCCAUGCUGGUGUCCUUCUUUAGAGAGGAGAAGAGAGAUUAAGAGAGCCAGAGAGACAAGAACUGAUGGUGGUGAUGGAUGCACAAGUGGUGACAGUGGUCAAGGUGAUGAUCUAGGAUGUUUGCUGGUCAAGGAAAGGGUGUGGGGCGAUGGUGCUGAGUAGUAGGAGAGGGAGACGGGUGAUAUGGUCAUCAGUUAAUCUCGGGUCCAGGAGGGUGAGCUGAGAGCUCUGGGAGAGAGAGCUUGGGGGACCACGGGUGUCUGAGAGAACGAGCUGAGGGGAAAGGUCGAGUCGAGGGAGAUUUUCGUGAGAGAGUUGAGCUGAGAGGUCAGCUGAGGGAAUGGUGAGAUGACAUGACCGGGAGUGAGCCGUGGGGAACGAGAGUGAGCCAAAGGCGAGGACAGGAGCUGAUUGAGAGGGAGCUGAGGGUGAAAUUGUGUGAGCUAAGGGAAAGGGUUCUGUGAGCUGUGAGAGAGAAGCCGGGUGAAUGUCAGUUGAGGGAAAAACAAGAUGAGAGAGAGAGGGGAUUAGUCGGUCUGUUGAUGGCUUCGAAAUGGAGAGGAAAGAUGAGCUUGAUGGUUGCGUCUUGCAGAGGACGCAGGGCACGGGCUUCAACCUGGAUAGCCGACUGCAGAAGCACCAGAAGACAGGAAGAGAAAAAAAAAAGAUGAUGUGAAUUCUAAUGAUCGAUGGAGCUGCUAUCAAGAUAUGCAGAGGGGCAGGACAUGGGUUCACCCAAGUUGCAAGUACCUGCAAAGCAAGAAGAAGAAAGAAAUGAAAAAAAAAAAGGAAAAAAAAAAAAAAAAAGAAAUGAAGAAACUUGGACGACGGUUCAUGGGGGUUGACUGCCAUCUGUUCAUUCACCUUUUCUUCUUCUUCUUUUUUUUACAUAUAUAUAUAUAUAUUAUUCGUACUGGUGUCCAUCGAUCGAUAAAUAGAUUUCUCGGGAUCCGUGGAUAUUUUCGGAAUGAAAAUUUUAAAAUUGAGAAGUUCAAGAAAUAAUUGGCUUUAUGAGAAGUCCAAUUCACUUCGAUGGAGAUUGAAUCUCGACAAAAAAUUGUCAUCGAACUCUUGACUCGUAUCGAUUGUAAUUGCUCAAUUAUUUUCGAAAUUUCAUCUUUAAAAACGGACAU